rnacentral:rRNA from 1 species
CCUACCAAGGCGAUGAUGCAUAGCCCGAGUUGAGAGACUGAUCGGGCCACAUUGGGGACUGAGACACGGGCCCAAAACUCCGUACGGGGAGGCAGCAGUAGGGAAUCUUCCACAAUGGACGCAAGUCUGAUGGAGCAACGCCGCGUGAGUGAAGUAAGGGUUUCGGCUACGUAAAGCUCUGUUGUUGGUGAAAGAAGGACGAGGGGUAGUAACUGACCUUUUGUUUGACGGUAAUCAAUUAGAAAGUCACGGCUAACUACGUGCCAGCAGCCGCGGUAAU